rnacentral:lncRNA from 1 species
CGGGAAGUUAAUCACCUGUUCCAGACUUACCGGUAGUGCACUAAAGAAUGGAAGUCACUUAACACCGUCGGAAUCACCGAAAACAGGACUUGCUAAGUAGAAGUAAGUACUAGAAUGGGGUAAGAUCUAGCACAUCUAGUAGAGGACAAGUAAGUAGAAGCCUUAAAGCAAGGUCAGCAGUUAGAGCAGUGAUAAAGUAAGCAGAAGCUAGAUUUGCUAUUAGCAGAGAAGAGCAGCCCUACCCCACAAAGUCAGUAAACAAGCCAAACCUAGCAACUUGACCAAACCUAGCAACUAGUACACAGUCCCAUACUAGCUACCACUGGUUGAAGUCUUUCCCUCAUUAGCAUCGGUCUUUGAUUCCCUCGGUUCCGUCUUGCUAGUAGUAGUUCUAUUCUGCAAUUCCGACUUAUGAGUUGGUCUCUUACUUGCUGCCUACUAGCUCACCUCUGAGUUUCAUUCUGAGUUUAGUGCUCGGAAGAUCCUUCUUUGUCCUGUGUUCGCCAGUGAAUCAAUCAGUUCAGGUGCAAGAAAGUCAUCAUUGAAUGCAUUUCAGAAUCUGUCUUUUUUGGAAUUUUCAUCUAUGUUUUCCCGAGGUUGAUGCAACAAAUACUUUAUUUCCAUCUCUCGUCUCUUUCUCCCAUUAGCGCAACCCGACCCGAACUCUGCUACCCUUAACAUCAAGUCAGGUUCCGCCUUAGUAAUUACUAAAUCCAGACCCCCACCUAUAUCUAUCAACUCUACUUUCUUUCUUAACCAACAACACGAGAACCUCCCGAAGACUAUUCAACUCGAACAGAGCCACUUGCAGCACUUGCAUCUUACGAGACAACACACCUCUGAUUCUCGAGUUUACUUUCCUCCCCAACUACAGAUUCCUCUGAUUCUCGAGUUUACUUUCCUCCCCAACUACAGAUUAUUCUGAUUCUGCUUUAUACUCUGAUUCCAGAAUGACUGUAUCGUUUCUAUACUCACCACCUUAAGUAGUCAUUUUCUAUUACCCGCUUACACCUGAAAACAACACUUUUGCUCAACAAGCUACGGAACAAGAAAAAAGCAAUGGUGCAUCAUAUGACACAAACAAGGUCUCAAAGGGCAAACAAAGAAUCUACACAACACAGUAAACCGGAGCAGAACCCACUUAGCCAAGUCCUGUCUUCGUAGAUGUUUUCACGGGUCAGAUGAAGACACGGGUCAGAUCAAGGGUCUCAAUUCCAUUCCCCGCAUCUAGUAUACGCUUGGCUUGAGCUCUCCUACUUAAUAGAUCAAUUACCUUUUUGGACCUUGUUGUGAGUUAUCGUAAUCGUAUUAGUAUAGUAGUAGUUGUUUUACUAGGGCGAGUAGGUACGAAAUACUUGUUAUGUACGGGCUAGGGUAUGCUUGUUUUCAUUCCUUUACUAGGUUGGGUAGGCAAGAAGAGAAGAGAUGAGCCAGAGGUAUCGGAUAAGAAUGAAUUUAUAGGAGCCGACUGAAGCAAAUAAGAAUCUCAGAAUGCAGUUUCCGGGUUGAAGUUUGACAGUAAGAGUAGCUUGCCCCAACUCAGUGGUUAAAGCCUUAUUGUCUCCUCUUUCAUUCCAGUUUCUUUCUUUCCUCUUUCUCUAUUGACUACUUGCUGAACUCAUGGGUUAUACUACUGGAUUAAUGAACUACCUUUUCUCUCUUAACUAGGGAUUAAACAAGUCAUUCCACAAGCACCAGUUCAAUCCAUUGGAGUAGUAGCUAAGGCCCCGGCCCUGUAUUGUUUCCCCUACUGCUCAAUUCUUUGACUUACUUACUCGAUCCUUGUACUAAUAAGUUGAUUUCUUAGCCAGGGUAUAUAUCCUUACUUGAGAGUUGAGCUACGCCCCUACGACUCAAAUCUUUACUUACUUAUAAGAAAUACGGAAUGAGCUAAAGCAGACUCACUUCUGAACUAAGUAAUGUCAGUAGCAGGCCUAUAAUUGGCGUAGGUAAUAUAGAACUACUAAUCUAAUAUCAAUUGAAGAAUCAGAUAAAGGAAAGUAAUACUAAAACACAGGAGAGACAUAUUCCAAUCUAACAAGUAAGGUUUUCAUAGCAAAUACCAGAAUUCAAUCCAUUGGUCAAAGAAUAGAAGAUAGGUUAACAGGCGUGUUCGUUAAAGUACUAUAAUGGCCUUCCUUAUUUACUGCUUUACUGACCGUGCUCGGAGUAUACGAGUUAGGGUCGUAACCGCUUAUGCUCAAACAAAGAAAGUCAUUUCGUGGCCAGUUCCGCUCACUACAGCGCAAGCAACAUAAUUCUACCAAGCUUGUUCCUAACUCUGACUACCGAAGCUAUUGGUGGUUAUGAAUAUAGAUCCGAACGAUGUGGUCUUAGUAAUAAAUCAGAAGCAUAUCCAUUUGAAUGCGGAAAGCUAUAGACUAGACAUUCCCACAAGCAAGAAGAAAGCUCAUCUUUUCAUUUAACAUCUCCACAAGAGCAAGCCGGACUCGCCUGAGGUUCACAUACUUUUCUUUCUUGGCACAAAAGUGGAAUGGGCUGGCUAAAUCUUUUGCCAAUCUCUAAAAUCACACUAAUGUCCAAAAAGGUUGAGGGCGGAGUGAAGGCUUCCGACUAGCAGACUUGACAUCAAGUUGUUACACCUUCCCUAUUUCUUAUUGAUUGGUUUGCUUGCGACCGGUAAAGAAAGGAAUGAGAACGAGGGCUCCACAAUCACAGACAAAAUAAAGAAGAAGGACUAUACUAAUAUGGAAAUCCAUACAAAAUAUAGAAAGAAGGACUACUAUUGCAAUCCAUCUUAAUGAAAUGGGACCAAGCGGUUACAGACACCAAACAACGGCGCCCAAUGAACCCAACAACAUUCCUUUACGAAUACUAGAGACUUCAAUAUAUUCUAAUUAACCUAGCAACAUUCCUUUACGAGUAAUAGACACUUUUCUUGAUUAUGGAAUUGAAAGAAAAAGUGACAUACGCAAGGCUCUUAGCACCUUCAUAUACUAGUGGAUUAUAUUAUACUUGUUAUCUGCCUAGGUACAAUACAAUUACUUGUUAUCUGCCUAGGUACAAUACAAUGGAUAUGGAAGAUCUAAGCAUACAUGUGGGAUAUAGAGGAUCUAAGCAUGUGCUCCUUAAAACCAAACCUCGAGGCUUUCCUAGACGAAAAUAGUAUACUUUUGAACUCACUCUUACUGUAGCUCACAAGAAUCAGUAUUUGAUGAAGACCCGAUUGCUUUAUAGAUCUAGCUUCUGCUUGAACUCUCCUAUGGCAACUAUUAACUUCAUUCUUAUUGAUUACUCUGACUCCGAUACAACUACUUAUACUACUCGUUUGGGCUGUAACCCAGGGUCUCUUGCUCUAGUACUGUUGCUUGCUCGGCUUGUCUAGUAGUUGCUUGGCCCUUGGUGGACUUGAAAGAAGGGUUUGAAUCUACUUAUACUCUGUAAACUCAUACUGAUUCUACAGGACUCCUACUUUAGAUGCAACAGGACUCCAUGACUUAACGAGCACUUCCACAAUCACUCCUACAGUUGCUACUCUCUGAACUCACUCCUAAGCUUCCCUAUCUUAUUCAUCUGCUCCUUCACUCGAGCAGGACUACUACAUUAUAUCAACUACACCUAAGAACGAACCGAGAGAUCAACUACACCUAAGAACCGAGUGUGGAAGGGACCCACGGAACAGGAUAAGCCGUGUUCGGCGCGAAUGCUAAUGUUGCUAAUGUUGCUAGGGGACAAAGAGCUAAUGUUGCUGAGGUAAUAAAACGACUAAUAUGCUUCUAAGCCAACUCAGUACCCGGCACCCGAAACAAUACUGGAAACUGCCAAUCUCUCACCUAUUGCUCCCGACCGGAACUAUCCUCGAAAGUCACUUAUGGUUUGUCUUCCCAUACCUCUCUGCUGGCUCUACUUUCUUUCUUUAUAAAUAAGAAUAAUAAGAAUAUUCCUUUCCUUUCGCCACCCGACCCGAACUCUAUUACAAGUAUCCGAUCUUUGCACAGAGUAUAUUAAGUAGCACGCGAAACUUCCCGCACUGGAUUGAUUGCCCCGAAGACUAUACGGGGGCCCUUUGUUAUUUCAAUGAGUUAACCCCGACCCGCACUCAUUGCACCCACAUCCAUGGAUACAAUUAAUUGAACCCGACAAGACGACAAGCCACUACUAGCGAGUCCUAAUUAAAGCGUCAGCGAGUUCAUGUCGCUAAAGGGCCGCUCAUUGAACCGAACCCACCAUACCUAUGUUAACAAUACCGGAAUUCGGAUGGUUCCUAUAACUCUGACUAAUUCCUCUGUUUAUUCCGAUCCAAGACUUCUUUACUUAUAGCUUACUCGGAUUGAUUGAUUGAUUUCCCGGUUAACUACAAUCUUUCUUUCCUUGCUUACUUUAUAUGAUUCUCUUUCUUCCCUUGAUAAUGAAUAGAUAAAGUAGCUUCUUCUCCCCGCUUCAAAGCAAGUACUUAACCCUGCCCCUAGUCGCUUGGUGGAUUGAUUUCUUUCAAAGAGGAAACUCGGUUUAGCCUUAUUCCUUGCCAUCUGACCCG